rnacentral:rRNA from 1 species
GAGUUUGAUCUUGGCUCAGAACGAACGCUGGCGGCAUGCCUAACACAUGCAAGUCGAACGAAGUCUUCGGACUUAGUGGCGCACGGGUGCGUAACGCGUGGGAAUCUGCCCUUGGGUACGGAAUAACUCAGAGAAAUUUGUGCUAAUACCGUAUAAUGUCUUCGGACCAAAGAUUUAUCGCCCAAGGAUGAGCCCGCGUAAGAUUAGCUAGUUGGUGAGGUAAGAGCUCACCAAGGCGACGAUCUUUAGCUGGUCUGAGAGGAUGAUCAGCCACACUGGGACUGAGACACGGCCCAGACUCCUACGGGAGGCAGCAGUGGGGAAUAUUGGGACAAUGGGCGAAAGCCUGAUCCAGCAAUGCCGCGUGAGUGAUGAAGGCCUUAGGG